AGAGUGCUGUUGGGGCCAAGCUCUAAUGGGCCAGCAUUGUUAGGAAGCCCAGAGUUUUAAUCUGUUGUAGCUGAAGUUGAUAUAUGCUGUUUGGGCCAGCGCUUUUAAAAGAGCAAUGAUAUGGGCUGCUGUGAUGAUGUUGGGCUUCUUGGUAUGGAGAUGAGCUGAUCCUGCAUAUGCAUGGGCUGAUCAAACACUUGCUUAAGAGCUAUUUUCUGAUCAAANACUUGCUUAGGAGCUAGCAACCGCAACAUAGGUCGAUGGCAGACGAUAGUACAGUGUCGACUGCAGAUGAUGGUGCAUGCUGGACGACAGCACACAGUGAACGCCAGCACAAAGUAGAGUCAACGACACUUGACGGCAAUGGUUGUACAGGCAGCGAAGAAGAAUCAAGGAAACCAAGUGUGAAGAGGGUGUAUGAGGAUCCACACGGUUGCAAUGAGAUCUAUGGCAACAUUUUCUUACCAAAACAGUAAGUUAGGUGUUGCAUAAGAGUGUUGAAUGAUAAGGGUAUUUUGUAAGAUUGAAUGUGAUAAAUUUGGAACUAGGUGUAACAUAUGUAUCUGUUUUGCUAUUAUACCUGUUUAGACCGAAUUAAUCUUGGUAAGUUGCAUCUAUCUUAUUGGUUUGAAUUAGGAUCAUUUGUGAAAUGUUUAUGACCAUGUUAUUCCAUGUAUAUAUUGGGUUUGUCCAUGUUAGUGAUUUUUUUGUUGUGGCAGAAUAUGAUAAAAGAAAGUCAAAAGGAAUUAUNGUUCUUUUUGGUUUCCAAUUGAUAAUAUUUUUGCUUCUUUAUGUUAAAUUGAUUGCUUAUCAUUUUGAUACAACUGUAUAGAGACUACAUGCGGAGCUUUANAGAGAAUAUGGAAGAGUUUCUUAAAUCUCAGCUCAUGAUAGACAUUGAAGUAGGACUUGGUCCUGCAGGAGAACUCAAAUACUCCUCUUUGUGAUGAAGCUAUUUGUGGGGUUGGGUAUUUCCUGGAAUUGGAGAAUCUCAGUGCUAUGAUAAAUAUCUUAAAGCUUAUUUCAAAGAGGCUGCAGCAGAAGCAGGUCAUCCUGGGUGAGAGCUGUCAGUUCUCAUAAACCCAACAGAGAAACACGGAGAAGAGAUAAUGGGUCUAUAUAUGAAUCUUCUAUUGAAUCUUCUUAUUAUAAAGCCACCAGUUCUCUCCCAAGUGUGGUAUCAAAGGAGGCAUUUAUGAGACAGAAGUCAAGAAAAAGAAAUGAUUUUGUGUUGGAGGAAGAAGUUUCGAAUGUCAAUUCUAGUGGCUUUGGAAAUGCAUUUGUGACAAGAAACAAAUAUGGACGCCCAAUUAGUGACAACAUUAUAGAUGAAUUUCAUCAAAGAUAUCAACAGAUUUUUGUUGCUCAGAAAUAGAGAAGAAAGGAAAAACUGCAGAUGAACCAAGUUAGUGUUUNAGAUAUCUCUUUCCCAUAUUUGUUGUUUUAACGUCAAUGUUUCCUAUAAUUCUAUU